AUUGAACGCUGGCGGCAUGCUUUACACAUGCAAGUCGAACGGCAGCGCGGGCUUCGGCCUGGCGGCGAGUGGCGAACGGUUGAGUAAUGCAUCGGAACGUGCCCAGUAGUGGGGGAUAGCCCGGCGAAAGCCGGCUUAAUACCGCAUACGACCUUAGGGUGAAAGCGGGGGACCGAAAGGCCUCGCGCUAUUGGAUCGGCCGAUGUCGGAUUAUCUAGUUGUUUGGGUAAAGGCUUACCAAGGCGACGAUCCGUAGCUGGUCUGAGAGGACGACCAGCCACACUGGGACUGAGACACGGACCAGACUCCUACGGGAGGCAGCAGUGGGGAAUGUUGGACAAUGGGGGCAACCCUGAUACAGCCAUGCCGCGUGCGGGAAGAAGGACUGCGGGUUGUAAACCGCUUUUGUUCGGGAAGAAAUCCUCUGGGAUAAUACCCCGGGGGGAUGACGGUACCGGAAGAAUAAGCACCGGCUAACUACGUG
rnacentral:rRNA from 1 species